rnacentral:rRNA from 1 species
AACGCGAAGAACCUUACCUGGGCUCGAACGGCCGGUCAACGAUCGUGGAAACACGGUUACUCCGCAAGGGGGUCCGGUCGAGGUGCUGCAUGGCUGUCGUCAGCUCGUGUCGUGAGAUGUUGGGUUAAGUCCCGCAACGAGCGCAACCCUUGUCCUGUGUUGCCACUCCCGUAAGGGAAGCACUCUCAGGAGACCGCCAGCGAUAAGCUGGAGGAAGGUGGGGAUGAUGUCAAGUCAUCAUGGCCUUUAUGUCCAGGGCUACACACGUGCUACAAUGGGCGGUACAAAGCGCUGCAAACCCGCAAGGGGGAGCUAAUCGCAAAAAACCGUUCUCAGUUCGGAUUGCAGGCUGCAACUCGCCUGCAUGAAGCUGGAAUCGCUAGUAAUGGCGUAUCAGAAUGAUGCCGUGAAUACGUUCCCGGGCCUUGUACACACCGCUCGUC